CAGCAGCCGCGGUAAUACGGAGGGUGCAAGCGUUAUCCGGAUUUACUGGGUUUAAAGGGAGCGUAGGCGGGCAGUUAAGUCAGUGGUGAAAUCUCUGGGCUUAACCCGGAAACUGCCAUUGAUACUAUCUGUCUUGAAUAUUCUGGAGGUAAGCGGAAUAUGUCAUGUAGCGGUGAAAUGCUUAGAUAUGACAUAGAACACCCAUUGCGAAGGCAGCUUACUUCGGGAUUAUUGACGCUGAGGCUCGAAAGCGUGGGGAUCAAACAGGAUUAGAUACCCUGGUAGUCCACGCCCUAAACGAUGAUUACUCGACAUUAGCGAUAUUACUGUUAGUGUCUAAGCGAAAGCAUUAAGUAAUCCACCUGGGAAGUACGACCGCAAGGUUGAAACUCAAAGGAAUUGACGG
rnacentral:rRNA from 1 species